AGUAACUGUUCAUACGUUGACGGUAUUUAACCAGAAAGUCACGGCUAACUACGUGCCAGCAGCCGCGGUAAUACGUAGGUGGCAAGCGUUAUCCGGAUUUAUUGGGCGUAAAGAGAGUGCAGGCGGUUUUCUAAGUCUGAUGUGAAAGCCUUCGGCUUAACCGGAGAAGUGCAUCGGAAACUGGAUAACUUGAGUGCAGAAGAGGGUAGUGGAACUCCAUGUGUAGCGGUGGAAUGCGUAGAUAUAUGGAAGAACACCAGUGGCGAAGGCGGCUACCUGGUCUGCAACUGACGCUGAGACUCGAAAGCAUGGGUAGCGAACAGGAUUAGAUACCCUGGUAG
rnacentral:rRNA from 1 species